AACAGUUAAAGUCAUGAAAAACAAGGAAAGUCUGAGAAACUGUCUGAGCCAAGAGGAGCCUAAAGAGACCAACUUUAAUGUUGGAUCCUGAAAUAGAAAUAGAACGAAAAGAAACUAAUAGCUGUAUGACAACAGCCAAAGAGUAAAUAUCCUUUCAAGUCCAAUCCUGCCUAAGAUGUCAAAAUCAAGAAUGAAGAGGUUAUGUGCUGAAACAGAGUGACCUUCACAAGAUGCAGCCUCUGGAUCUUGGACUUCCCCAGCCUCCAGAACUGUGAGCAGAGCCCCAUAAAUGAGAAGCCACGAAGACUGAGGUUACACAGUGAUCCACAGUUGCCACAAAACUGAGCAGUG
rnacentral:lncRNA from 10 species